rnacentral:rRNA from 1 species
UGGGGAAUUUUGGACAAUGGGGGCAACCCUGAUCCAGCAAUGCCGCGUGUGUGAAGAAGGCCUUCGGGUUGUAAAGCACUUUUGUCCGGAAAGAAAACGCCGUGGUUAAUACCCGUGGCGGAUGACGGUACCGGAAGAAUAAGCACCGGCUAACUACGUGCCAGCAGCCGCGGUAAUACGUAGGGUGCAAGCGUUAAUCGGAAUUACUGGGCGUAAAGCGUGCGCAGGCGGUCCGCUAAGACAGAUGUGAAAUCCCCGGGCUUAACCUGGGAACUGCAUUUGUGACUGGCGGGCUAGAGUAUGGCAGAGGGGGGUAGAAUUCCACGUGUAGCAGUGAAAUGCGUAGAGAUGUGGAGGAAUACCGAUGGCGAAGGCAGCCCCCUGGGCCAAUACUGACGCUCAUGCACGAAAGCGUGGGGGAGCAAACAGGAUUAGAUACCCUGGUAGUCCACGCCCUAACGAUGUCAACUAGUUGUCGGGUCUUCAUUGACUUGGGUACGUAGCUAACCGCGUGAAGUUGACCGCCUGGGAGUACGGUCGCAAGAUUAAAACUCAAA